ensembl:lncRNA
CUUGGAUAAAGAAGAGCUAAAAUAAACUGCAGCACUUUUAUAUGAUUAUUGAACUGUUAUGAAGGUUUUUUUAAUGCAUUUUAAAGAAAUUCAUUCAUCCUUUUUAAUAAGCCUUUUUUUGUAAUUGUGACUUUAUUGUGUAAAUUUUGAUUGUUUAAUUAAAUAGUGUCCCCACUGUAGUCAUGUUUGAGGUCAGUAAACUUUGCCUAUACUGAGAUAUACACAAACUGUGUGCAAGUGUGUGCAUUUACUAGCAGUACAGUAAUACAUGUGUAUGUGUGUAUCCCAGAUCCAGUGGAGGAUCCAGUUCUCAAUGUCUCACUCCAUCAAAGCAGUGGCACCUGUAAUGUGACUCUCACCUGUGAAGCUCAGAGUCUCUCAAUCAUUUGUCAGCUAUAAUGAUAUAGGUGUCAGCUAUAAUGAUAAUUGUGAUAUGAAGAAUGUAGAAACACGUGGAAACAGAUUCCUUUCCAUCUCAUUGUACGUCAGUAACAGCUUCAUCAUUUGUAAUCAUAGCAACCCAGUCAGCUGGAAACAUUAUACAUUGAAGAUGGAAAAGGUGAAACAUCUCUGCCCAUCUAAAGAUAAAGAAAAGCUCAUGGAUUCUGAGACAAGUUGGACUGCCAUAAUCAUGAUCAUAAUCAUAAUCAUAAUCAUAAUCAUCGUAGUAUUAGUGGGUUGUGUCACACUCCUUUUCUAGAACAGGCAACGAACGACAACAGUCGGAUGCUGCUCACAUUCUGCUGAAUAUUGGAUGAUCUCCAAGGAGAAUCCUGAAUUUAAACUGUCCCUGCCUUAAGCUAAAAAGUGUCAACGCCGUGCAGGAACUGGUGAGAAAUACCCAUAUAAGGACUGAACCUUGAGGAUCAGAAAAUCAAGCAAAGAACAAAGGAGAGUUGAAAAGAGAUGUCUUAAGGCACGUGGCUUGCUGAAUCUGUGGCUGAACAUGUUCCUAAGCCACCUCAACUUAGCUUAGAGGGGAUGAGAAGGACUGUCCAUGAUAGCUUUCAGCUUCCCUCUCAUCCUCUUCUUAGUUACUGUCUCCACACUGUCCAGCUCCAUCCCCACCACACAGCUGGCCUUCCUCAUCAGCUUGCCCAGUUUGUUGGCACUAGAAGUCCAACAAGUCAUGGUUGGCCAUAAUAUCUACGGGCUGCAGCCAAUGGGAACGCUUCUCUGUCAGCGUGCAUCCUCACAGGACCAAUCAUACCACCUCAGACGAUCCAUCUGUCUCUACACGAAUCUCUGCUUGCUUGUCGGACAUCUUGGUCUGGAUGAAGGAACACCAUCUUAAGCUCAACCUGGCAAAAUCUGAGCUUCUCACCAUCCCAGCCUGUCCCUCAAUCAACCACAACCUCAUUGUACAGCUCGGCUCAACCACACUCAAGCCAACCAGGACAGCCAGGAACCUUGGGGUGAUUCUUGAUGACAGCUUGACCUUUACAGACCACAUUUCAACAACUGCACUGUCCUGUAGGUUCAUUCUAUACAACAUCAAGGAAAUCAGACCCUGUCUCACCGAACAGGCCACACAGCUACUAGUCCAGGCUCUUGUCAUCUCAAAACUGGACUAUUGCAAUGCACUACUCUCGGGCCUCAAGCCAGCUCCAUCAAACCUCUUCAGAUUAUUCAGAAUGCAGCAGCACACCUCGUAUACAACCAGCCCAAAAGAACCCAUGUGACACCCCUCUUCAUCUCCCUCCACUAAGGCCUGUAGCUGCCAGUAUCAAAUUCAAGGCCUUGAUGCUCACGUACAAGACCUUGUCUGGUACAGCACCCCCAUACCUCAACACUCUCCUUGAGGCUUAAGUUCCCUCACGCAAUCUGCGAUCAAUCAAUGACCAACGCUUACUAGUGCCUACUCAGCGUGGCUCAAGGCCCCUUUCCAGAACCUUCGCACUAUCUGUCCCUCAGUGGUGGAAUGAACUUCCAACCUCAAUGCGAACUGCAGAAUUUGUCAGUAUCUUCAAGAAACAGCUAAAGACCC